rnacentral:rRNA from 1 species
AACGAACGCUGGCGGCAGGCUUAACACAUGCAAGUCGAGCGCCCCGCAAGGGGAGCGGCAGACGGGUGAGUAACGCGUGGGAAUCUACCCAUCUCUACGGAAUAACGCAUGGAAACGUGUGCUAAUACCGUAUACGUCCUUCGGGAGAAAGAUUUAUCGGAGAUGGAUGAGCCCGCGUUGGAUUAGCUAGUUGGUGGGGUAAAGGCCUACCAAGGCGACGAUCCAUAGCUGGUCUGAGAGGAUGAUCAGCCACACUGGGACUGAGACACGGCCCAGACUCCUACGGGAGGCAGCAGUGGGGAAUAUUGGACAAUUGGCGCAAGCCUGAUCCAGCCAUGCCGCGUGAGUGAUGAAGGCCCUAGGGUUGUAAAGCUCUUUCACCGGUGAAGAUAAUGACGGUAACCGGAGAAGAAGCCUCGGCUAACUUCGUGCCAGCCGCCGCCGUAAAAC